rnacentral:rRNA from 1 species
AUUGAACGCUGGCGGCAUGCCUUACACAUGCAAGUCGAACGGCAGCACGGGUGCUUGCACCUGGUGGCGAGUGGCGAACGGGUGAGUAAUGCACCGGAACGUACCCAGUAAUGGGGGAUAACACAUCGAAAGAUGUGCUAAUACCGCAUACGCCCUGAGGGGGAAAGCGGGGGAUCGUAAGACCUCGCGUUAUUGGAGCGGCCGAUGCCGGAUUAGCUAGUUGGUGAGGUAAAGGCUCACCAAGGCGACGAUCCGUAGCUGGUCUGAGAGGACGACCAGCCACACUGGGACUGCGCCACGGCCCAGACUCCUACGGGAGGCAGCAGUGGGGAAUUUUGGACAAUGGGCGCAAGCCUGAUCCAGCCAUGCCGCGUGAGUGAAGAAGGCCUUCGGGUUGUAAAGCUCUUUCGCAAGGAAAGAAAACUUACCUUCUAAUAAAGGGUGAGGUUGACGGUACCUUGAUAAGAAGCACCGGCUAACUACGUGCCAGCCGCCGCCGUAA